AUUGAACGAUGGCGGCAGGCCUAACACAUGCAAGUCGAACGAGUGGCGGACGGGUGAGUAAUGUCUGGGACACUGCCUGAUGGAGGGGGAUAACUACUGGCAACGGUAGCUAAUACCGCAUACCAUCGGAUGUUCCCAGAUGGGAUUAGCUAGUAGUUGGGGUAACGGCUCACCUAGGGGACGAUCCCUAGCUGUUCUGAGAGGAUGACCAGCCACACGGGAACUGAGACACGGUCCAGACUCGUACGGGCGGCAGCAGUGGGGAAUAUUGCACAAUGGGCGCAAGCCGGAUGCAGCCAUGCCGCGUGUAUGAAGAAGGCCUUCGGGUUGUAAAGUACUUUCAGCGGGGAGGCGUUACCCGCAGAAGAAGCACCGGCUAACUCCGUGCCAGCCGCCGCGGUAAUAC
rnacentral:rRNA from 1 species